rnacentral:lncRNA from 1 species
GCCAACUUCAAACGCGGGGCUGGGGCGGCGGCGUCACUUCGCGUGCGUGCGUGCGUGCGUCACGUGGUAGGGAGGGCGGGACGGCGCCGCGCUGAGGGGAGGCUGUGCCCCGCCCGGGCCCGGCCCUGAGGGGAGCGGGGCGUUAUCCGCAGCGCCCGAAGUUUUGCGUCCGUUCCGCGUCCGCUGGGGCAGGAAGCCGCCUCAGCUAUAGGAACGGGGAAGGUGUGGCAUGAGGCCGGGGUGGAGUUAGUGCCGAGGAGGGGUUGGGAGGCUGAAGGAUCGCUGGGUUUUGUGAGUUGGGUGAGGAGCUGAUAGGGCUGCCUUGAAUUCGAGGGAAACCUCCGGGUGUUUUUAUAAAUAUCGACGAGUUGGCACUUGAGUGGAACGCGCUCAGAGUUACCUCAGCGCUCAGAGUUACCUCAGCGCUGGUAGAGGCGAGCUGAGGGCGAUUCCUCUGAGUCCCGUUUUUAUUUUCCUACCAUUAAAGCAUGCAAAGUGAAGCUAGGUUAAAAUUUGAAUGGUUUAAGGUGCGUUGGAAAGAAGUUAUUUCUUCCUACUUUGACACACCCUACAGACGAGCUCAGAGAGAAGGCAACUGAAAGAGACCCAAAUGCCGCCCUCCUGCCAGGCUGGGCAGUUCUGGGGCUCUUAUAUUUGAGGCUGGUCGCAAAUUCCUGCUCAGGUAUUUCCCUUGUGAGGUAUCACAGCAGAGCAAAAGCUGCUUGGCAGCCCAGCCUUCACCCCAACCUGCUUGGCAAGUGACAAAACUAUCAGACAGGCACAGCAUACAUUAACAUGUGUAAACUUUGCCCUUAAAUCCCAGCCUGAGCAUCACUCCUGCUGUGGAGCUGUGCCAUAGGAAUGGGAAGAGCUUGCCAGUCUACUGUGGAGGAGAUGAUGUUAAAGCCACACAGAUGAGGUUAUUCCUAGGAGUUCCAGGAGCAGAGUCAUUUCGUCCCGACGUGCAGCACCCUGCCUGCCCUGACAGAAGGUUGCUUUCCUGCUCCAAUCUCUGCAGCCAAGGCUCUUACGAUGCACCUCCACUAGCAGCCCCCUACCAAAACAGAACAACCCAAGAGCCUGAGCUCCCUGGGACAUCUGGGUCCCCUGCAAGUGCACAGUGGGCAGGCAGAGCCAGCAGGAUAAGAACAUGAAGUCUGAGGCAGCCUGACAAAGGACUGUUAGUAAGGACAGCGGUCCCGGAGGCUGCGAGCUGCUGGGCUUUGCUAAGAAACCCAUCGAGAUGGUGCUGGCCCCAGGGGUCCUUGCUUCUGCUGGCUGUUGGGGCAUUUUGCUGCUUUAACCUACUCCUCUCUCAGAACUGUGAGGGCUGCUAAGAUGAUUAAGAGCUUGGAGCACCUGCCAUAUAAAAAAAAAGAGCCUGGGAGAAUGGAGGCUUGGAGCGGUUCUUAUCCAUGUCUCUCAACACUUGGUGGUGGGUAAAGAAGAGAGACCAGUUCUCCUUAGUGAUGCCCAGUGACAGAAUGAGAGCCAUACUGAUAGCAAAAUACAGGAGUUCCAUUUAAACUAAAGAAAUGUUUUUUCUGUGAGGCUGGCUGAAUACUGGAACAGGUGGCACAGAAGUGUUCUGUCAUCUCCAUCUUUGGAAACGGUCCUGGGCAGCCUGCUUGAACUAACUCACGUUGAGCAGGGGGGGGGAAUGGAAGGCCAUGUUCAGAGGUCCCUUCCCAACUCAAUUCCACAAUUCCUUGAUGCGUUGUGGCUUGGUAUCGCUGUGAUGAGACAUACAUGGUCCUACCAUUCUGACUUCCAGCCAUUGCCUCCCUUCUCUGGGGCAGGUCAGGGCUUCCCUGUGCUGAGCACAGCUCAGCUGUGACCCUGCUCUGCGCAAUGCAUUGUGGCGCCUUAGCGAGGCUUCCCAUGCCCUGCAGCCCAGGUUUGGCAGCAUCAUGGUAACUCUCACACAGCUCAGGGACAGUGAAAACUCCUUCUGCUGCUAAAAGAGAUAGCUGCUGUACUGCUGGUAAAAGCAGAAGGUUGAUCCUCACCUGAGAAACACCCACCCAGCUUUCAGUCCAGGGAGACACCCCCAGGCCAGAGCUCCCUGCCCCUUGGCACAGGGGCUGAACACCCACGCAGCAACACCGACGCUCAUUAAAGGUUUACUUUUAUUUCUGGUUUAAAAUCAAAAUUAGUCAUUCUCUGUAAUUACAUUAUAUAUAGAUUUAUAGAGACAUUAUAGAAAAGAAUUUGUCGCUUUUUUUCUGCAAAAAAAAAAAAAAAAGAAAUCUGUAAAUAAAAAAUAAAAUAAACAACAAGGAAAGGAAAAGGUGGCAGUGUCCGUCUGUCCGUCCCUCUGUCGCUCCUCCUGCCCCUGCCCUCCACAGCACUCCCCCGCAGAGGGGAAGGGCUCUGGGCUGGGGCUGUGCCUCACUGCGCCCCACCGCCGGGGAGGGACAGGAGCAUGCGGAGCUGGAAAGAAGAAAUGCCAGCAGAAUAUAUUAAUAUAUCUCAUAUCUCAUUUUAUUUAAGUCCUGCGGACUUCCAGGUGGCAAAAGGGCAGCGGUUCCCUCCCAGCCCAGGCGACUUCUGGAAAGAAACAGCAUCGCUUCCAAAGUGUGGGUCCUUCCAGGAAAGGGCACGCGGCCCGAGCAGCAGGAAGGCAAGAGGCGGAGGAAUCCGGUGCGUCUCCCUGCCGCUCCCAUCCCAGCAGCUGUAGCACGAAGGGUGGCUUCCCUGUGUGUUUUCAAUAGCAGUCGAAGGGUGGGGUGUGCAGCGAGCCCCUCCUCGCCCAGGGGUGGGUGCGUGCGUGGCACCCCGCGUGGCUGGUGCUGGGGGCAGGGGAAGCGGUGCUCCGUAAGGCAGUGUGCGGCCGCGGCGAGCUGCCGGCGGGGGUGAUGCUGCAGUGCUGCUGUGAGCAGGGCCGUUGGCUGGGCCCAGUCUUUGCGAGCCCACGUGCAGCUCAGCAGUGCCUUUGUCCUCAAGGGGUAGCGGGUGGCUCUGUGUGGCUUCUCAGAAAGCUGUGCUGGCCAUGCUGGCUGGUGCAAAGAUCCGCGGGAGGCUGUCCAGGGUCUCCUCCAGUCGCCGGUGCGCUGAUUUGCCAUCUUCCCCUGUAAGCACGUGCCACAGUCAGCGAAGCCAAGGGCAGCAGCUCUGUUCCCUGCCCAUCCCUGGCCACCUUCCCUGGCCUUGCAACAGAAAUGAUACUAAUGCCUGACAGAGCCGAGCCAGCGUGGUACAGCCACAGAGCCCUGUGGCACAGCUGGCUGGGGAGGUGGGGGAGCACCCGAAGAACCAUGGAGAUGAGGCACUGGAGGUGUGGGCAGUGGGCAUGGUAGGGCUGGACUUUGGGAUCUGAGAGGUUUUUUUUUCCUAACCUUAAUGGUUCUAUGAUUCUUGUGUUCUCCAUAGCACACCCUUGAACAGAUCCCAUCUCCAAAAGCCGGCAGAGCUCCCAGUCCAGGAGCUGGGGCAAGUGGGCGAGGCCCAGGGCUGUGCCAGGUGCAGCAUGCCAACCAGCUGUGCACUUCUGCAUGCACCUACAUGGGGACCCCAAGAGCUUCCCAGCACCCCCGCGUACACACAGGGAUGCACACUCCAUGCUGAGAGAUCUCUGCCCAGCAGCCCUGCACACAGAUCUGCACGCAGCAGCCAUCCCCAGCAGAGCUGGUGACGUGGGACACAGGACACGUGGCACCUAUGUGCGCAGGCAUUGCCGCGGGGCUACGAACAACCAAGACACACAGACUCCAAAAAGUGACGUGGCUGACAGGCUCUAAGACAGAGACAUUUGUGAGCAAAGCAGGAGUGGGGCUGAGGGACGAGGACAGCUCACAUGUCCCAACCUGUGCAGCAGCUGCCGCGGUCUGGAGGCCUAGAAACCCAACUCAGAUGGUUCUCUCAGUGCCAUCUAGCAAAUAAUAAAUAACACCCACGCUUAGGGCUGUGCCCGCAGGAAUCCUCGCUGCCCACCACCGCUCUCACCCCACACAGCUGGGGCACCGUAAGCCGGAGCAUGGGGCAGGCAGGGAUCAGCCCAGGCCCCUAUCUCCCUUGGGCAGUGUGCCAUGGGGUGAUGCAGGACACUCACCACACAGCAUCAGGCUCUGCUUGGCUGCCUCCCGCACAGGCUCCUUGUCGGUUUGGCACAGGUAAACCAGCUGCUCGAUGCUCUCCUUGGCCUGCAGGAGAGGGAAGAGGGCUGAGUGUGGUUGGUGCCAGCCACGUGGAUGUGACCCACUGGGGAAGGCAGCAAGGUUCCUGCAGCCCUGCAGUAGGUUGCAGGCAGGGCAGACCCCCAAGCCCCCAUCGGAGCUCAACCUCCAGACCAGCCCUGGGCAGAAAAAGUCACGGAAUCAUAGAAUCACAGAAUGGCUUGGGUUGGGAGGGACCUGCAAGAUCAUCCAGUUACAACCCUAAAGUCCCUUGGCUGUGUCCCCUUUCCCUUCCUACUGUGCCCCAGCACAUUUGGGGCACCCCUAGGAGCUGAAGGCUGCACAGAGACAGCAGCAGGCAGCAUCAGUUCCUCUCCACCCACCCCACAGCCAGCUCAGCCUGGAAGCAGAUACCCCAUGUGCUCCUUCGUGCACCCAUCUCACCUUGAGGCAGCCCAGCGCCACGCAGCCGGCCACGCGUGUCUGCACCUCCUCAUCCUCCAGCUGUCCCAGGAAGCACACGAGGGCCUGGGGCAGAGCGAGGGCUCAGUGCCACCACUUCAAGUAGCGACCCAGAGCCCACCUCCCCCCCUCCUGCCCACAGCGUACCCGUUGGCGGAAGCGGGGGUUUUCCGCCAGGCUGCGGAGCUGUGCCGACACGGCGCUCACCACCUUGCUGUUUCCUUCCACGAGCAGCAAGCUGAGCGCCUUCAGCCCUUCCUUCUUCAGGCGGCCCUCGGGCACACGCUUCAGUGCCCGCAGCACCACAUCCUGGUCGUCUGAGUUGAGGUUCUGCGCCAGCAGCACUGUGGGGACAGCCCGGUGAGCUGAGCAUCUGUGGGGAGCUCAGCCUCCAGCCACAGCAGUCAGAGGGAUCCCACAAUAGGAUGCUGGGGGCGCUGCCCCGCUGCUGGGGUACCUGAGCUGGAGACCUGCAGAAAGCAAGGUCCAAAGGGUGCCCCAGGAUGGGAGUGUAGGAAGGGGCUGAGCACAAGCAAUGGGGCAGGGUGGGCGAGCCUUUGGGUGGGCGAGCCUUUGGGUGAUACCCCACAGUGCUGUACACCCUACAGCCUCCAGCUCAGGGCACGGCAGAAGGGCACCCACCUUCCUCUGCCAGCUCCAUCACGUAGGUGUCGAGCACCAGGGCACCGAGGGCCUCGAAGUGGCUCCAGUACUGGAAGAUGGUGACCUGCUCACCCUGGGUGCCACCGGGUCGCCGUGGCAGCCGCCGGUUCAGCACAUCUUCCACCAGCUUCACACAUACUGUGGGAAAAUAACGGGGUCAGGGCAUGCAGCACCUCGUAGGGUCGGAGAUUCCCUUCUUGCACGUCCACACCUGCACACCCUCACCUGCAUCAGCCAGUCCUGGGUGCCGCUCACUGAUGGGUGCUGCGUACUGCGCACUGAGCACCUGCAGGAACCGCUCCACGGGGCAGGUGUAGAUGUUGGGCAGCUCCACGCAGUGGUCCCAAAGGGGCAGCACCCCUUCUUUCCGUGUUGAGAACUGCACCACUGCGGGGACAGGCGGUGUCAAGCUGCACAUCCAGCUGGCACAUCCCUCCCGUGCAGCCCCUUGCUGCCCUUACCUCCGGCAGCAGAGCCCGCUGCUUCCGACCGCUCCUCCAUCAGUUGGCACACGAUCUCCAGCACCUGCGCCUCCCGCAGCAGCCUGUCCAGGGCGAACAUCUCCCGGCACCUCAGAGGCCCAAAGGUGCCCAGGUUCUGUGAGGCACAGGUAUGCCAGUGACCUUAAGGACAGCACAGCACCCAGACCCCAGCACAGCCACAGCAAGGCAUCUCGGAGGGUCUUAGGGGGGCCAGAAACUGCGAGGAGCCAUGGCCAGCCCCAGGAUGUGUCCCACUAUUGCAUCCCACUCCCUGCAGGGAGCCUUGGCCAACCCCACCACGUGUCCCCGCAUCGUGUCCCAGUCCCCAGUCUCACCAGCAGCAGGUGGUUGCAGUUGUGGAGGUGAAGCACCAGGGCCUUAUCCAGGAACUCACUGCCGGUGCUCAUGGGGUCCGCGCUGCCCUCAGAGCCGCUGCACGUUCCAGUGUCAUCCGCUCCCACCUCACCAGCGCUGGCAGCCCUGCUUCCACGCCGUGCUCUGCUGGCCCUCCUGCAAACCAGCAAGAGCUGGAUCAGCACAGGGCACCCGAACCCAGCCCUUCCUUUCCCACCAGAGCUCAGCACCCCAAG